rnacentral:ncRNA from 1 species
GGUUAGCGGACGUCGCGACCCGUUGGGCGCCGGCCGAAUGGCCCGGGUGACGUUCGUCGCGUCGGUCGCGUUUCGGCGUGACCGUUCGCGCCGAGCCCCGGUGCUCAUGGUCGGCUCGCCCGACGGCAAGAACCGUCGACGCGGCCCCGUCGCAGGCGGGGUCCCGUCGGUCGGCGACGUGUUUCGAGCUACUUUCCGACCCGUCUUGAAACACGGACCAAGGAGUCUAACGUGUGCGCGAGUCAACGGUGAUCUUACGAAAAACCACGUUUGGCGCAAUGAAAGUGAACCGUUUACGGUGCGGACGAUGGCCUAGCGACCGAACCCACCGGCGUUCAAAGUCGCGCUGGUCCGCAGUCCGGGGGCGUCUCCGCCAAGUCGGCUUCGGCCGGCUGGGGGCGCACCCUUAGCGCACACGUUGGUACCCGAAAGAUGGUGAACUAUGCCUGGCCAGGAUGAAGUCAGGGGAAACCCUGAUGGAGGUCCGCAGCGAUUCUGACGUGCAAAUCGAUCGUCUGAGCUGGGUAUAGGGGCGAAAGACUAAUCGAACCAUCUAGUAGCUGGUUCCAUCCGAAGUUUCCCUCAGGAUAGCUGGCGCCGAUGUGUCCCGCCCGUUCGCGGGCGUACGGACGCCGGUGGGACUCCGCGCUGUACGGCGCGGUAACAACACGCUCGUAACACGGAGGAUGUCUCAUACGGUAAAGCGAAUGAUUAGAGGACAUUGGGGCCGAAACGACCUCAACCAUAUUCUCAAACUAUAAAUGAGUGAGAUCGCCGGCUUUACCUGGUACACCGCGUGAACCGCGUGCGAAGCCGGCGACGGAACCCUAGGCGCUUAGUGGGCCAUUUUUGGUAAGCAGAACUGGCGCUGCGGGAUGAACCGAACGCCGAGUUAAGGCGCCGAAAUCGACGCGUAUUCAGAGACCAUGAAAGGCGUUGGUUGCUGAUGACAGCAGGACGGUGGCCAUGGAAGUCGGAAUCCGCUAAGGAGUGUGUAACAACUCACCUGCCGAAGCAACUAGCUCUGAAAAUGGAUGGCGCUGGAGCGUCGUGCCUAUACUCGGCCGUCGACGGCAUAGUGGGGCCAGUCGUCGCUCGCGGCGGCCGGUCCCGGCAAGCCUCGACGAGUAGGAUGGCGCGGCGGUGUGCGUCGAAGGGCAGGUCGCGAGACCGCCUGGAGCCGCCGUCGGUGCAGAUCUUGGUGGUAGUAGCAAAUACUCGAGAGGGGCCCUCGGGGGCUGCCGUGGAGAAGGGUUUCUUGUGAACAGCCGUUGUCCAAGAGUCAGUCGAUCCUAAGCCCGGGGAGAGAUCCUCGUACCACGGGCGAAGGCGUUUUCGAAU